AAGAGGAAGCAUCUAGAGUUUGCUUUCCCAAUCAGUAAACUCCGGUUGCUUCAUCUUG
rnacentral:pre_miRNA from 1 species